UACGAAGGGGACUAGCGUUGUUCGGAAUCACUGGGCGUAAAGCGCACGUAGGUGGAUUUGUAAGUCAGGGGUGAAAUCCCGGGGCUCAACCUCGGAACUGCCUUUGAUACUGCGAAUCUUGAGUCCGAUAGAGGUGGGUGGAAUUCCUAGUGUAGAGGUGAAAUUCGUAGAUAUUAGGAAGAACACCAGUGGCGAAGGCGGCCCACUGGAUCGGUACCGACACUGAGGUGCGAAAGCGUGGGGAGCAAACAGG
rnacentral:rRNA from 1 species